UGCAGUCGAGCGGACAGAUGGGAGCUUGCUCCCUGAUGUUAGCGGCGGACGGGUGAGUAACACGUGGGUAACCUGCCUGUAAGACUGGGAUAACUCCGGGAAACCGGGGCUAAUACCGGAUGCUUGUUUGAACCGCAUGGUUCAAACAUAAAAGGUGGCUUCGGCUACCACUUACAGAUGGACCCGCGGCGCAUUAGCUAGUUGGUGAGGUAAUGGCUCACCAAGGCAACGAUGCGUAGCCGACCUGAGAGGGUGAUCGGCCACACUGGGACUGAGACACGGCCCAGACUCCUACGGGAGGCAGCAGUAGGGAAUCUUCCGCAAUGGACGAAAGUCUGACGGAGCAACGCCGCGUGAGUGAUGAAGGUUUUCGGAUCGUAAAGCUCUGUUGUUAGGGAAGAACAAGUACCGUUCGAAUAGGGCGGUACCUUGACGGUACCUAACCAGAAAGCCACGGCUAACUACGUGCCAGCAGCCGCGGUAAUACGUAGGUGGCAAGCGUUGUCCGGAAUUAUUGGGCGUAAAGGGCUCGCAGGCGGUUUCUUAAGUCUGAUGUGAAAGCCCCCGGCUCAACCGGGGAGGGUCAUUGGAAACUGGGGAACUUGAGUGCAGAAGAGGAGAGUGGAAUUCCACGUGUAGCGGUGAAAUGCGUAGAGAUGUGGAGGAACACCAGUGGCGAAGGCGACUCUCUGGUCUGUAACUGACGCUGAGGAGCGAAAGCGUGGGGAGCGAACAGGAUUAGAUACCCUGGUAGUCCACGCCGUAAACGAUGAGUGCUAAGUGUUAGGGGGUUUCCGCCCCUUAGUGCUGCAGCUAACGCAUUAA
rnacentral:rRNA from 1 species